rnacentral:rRNA from 1 species
AUGACGCCGCCGCAGCAAUGUGCAGAUCGCCGGCCUCCUCCUCUUGGCCUCCGUGGGCUUUCUAGGGUUGCUUUCCAGCCGAGAUCGCCGCCGCCCGGAGGUCUUCCUCCUCUUGGUCUCACCGGACGCUCUGGUGCUCCUUCCUUCUCCAUCGGCACGGCAGGUUUCGAGCGUCUUCCUCCUCCUACAACUUUGCCUCGACGGCACGUCGGCCUCACACGCCCAUCUCGCGCUCCGGCACCUAACGAGGCCGGUUCCUCGAACUGGAGUGCCUCCGUCGGCGAGGCCGGUACAGGCAGCGGAGGGUUCGUGGGGUUUCACCUCAUCAAUGGCAGCGGCGGGAUGUCGUUUGGCGGUGGCGGUGGCGGCGUGAUCUCGUUUGGCGGUGGCGGUGGCGGUGGCAGCGGGAUAUCGUUUGGCGGCGGCGGCAGCGAGUCCCUGGACUUCACGUUCAGAACCGGCGCCGGUGCCAAUCGGAGUGAAGGAUCCUCCCAUGGUGGAAGCAGAGAAGGUAUUGGUGGAAAUGAGGGUACCAUUGGCUACCGAGGGCCUGGAUACAACCCAAAUUUUUCACAUGCCGACGAAUACCCUCCUAGUCAAGAGGCUGUUCAAACCCAAAGACAACCUAUCGAUUUGAAUGUUUUGUCGAACAAGGAGACAAGAAGACAGUACCGUAUCGAUGAUAGGCGUCACAUAUAUACUGAGAUCAUUGCCCGUAAUGGUACGGGUAAUAGGUUGAAGCAUGGAGUUUCUAAAGCUGCUGCACUAGCUUGUAAAUGUCCUAGGAGGAUAGUGCAAAGGGAGACCCGCGGCGCUCUCGUCUUCGUCCUGCAGACUAUCCGCGAGCUCUCGCCGAAAGCGUUCGUCAUCGUGGAGCAGGGCGCCGGCCACAACUACGCCGCGUUGUUCUACGCCCUCGACAUGGCGCUCCUGCGCUAUGACGUCCGGCACGCUCGCGUGGAGCAAUUCCACUUCGGCGCCGAGAUCCACAACGUGGUAGGAUGCGAGGGCGUGGCGCGCGUCGAGCGGAACGAGCGCGCGGACCAGUGGCGACGCCGCAUGAGCCGCGCAGGCUUCCUGUCCAUGCCGUUCAAGAUGGCAGCCAAGGCACGGGAGUGGCUGGAGGAGAACGCUGGCGGCAGUGGAUACACGGUGGCCGAAGAGAAGGGGCGCCUCGUGUGCUUGGAUGGAAGGGCAAGCCCGUCAUCGCUACCUCGUGCUGGAAAUGCCAGGGACACUGAUGGUGAUCAGUUUCUCGCCUGCUGGCCACUGUCGAACACUUCACAAUGUUCACAAUAUCCACGACCACGAGUACGUGUACGUACACGGUACGUGCGUGCACGGUGGAUUGGAUGUGAGAAAAGCGAUCGUGGACGAUCGCAUCUGAGGCCAACUCCACCGGCCGCCGCCGGUCCCUGCCUCUUCCGUUUGGCCACUCCGGCCACGCGAGGAGGUGGGGACCACGGCGCUUCGACGCCGGCCUGUAGUUAG